UACGUAGGUGGCAAGCGUUAUCCGGAUUUACUGGGUGUAAAGGGCGUGUAGGCGGGAGAGCAAGUCAGACGUGAAAUUCCAGGGCUCAACCCUGGAACUGCGUUUGAAACUGUUCUUCUUGAGUGAUGGAGAGGCAGGCGGAAUUCCGUGUGUAGCGGUGAAAUGCGUAGAUAUAUGGAAGAACACCAGUGGCGAAGGCGGCCGCCUGGCCUGUUGCUGACGCUGAGGCACGAAAGCGUGGGGAGCAAAUAGG
rnacentral:rRNA from 1 species